GGGCACAAGAGCUCCGAGCCCGGUCGUCGGGGCGGUAGAACCUGGAAGCGGGAGAGUGGUCUGGUGGGUUCUGCGCCCGUUAGGCAAUGAAGGAGAAGGAUGUUUUAUCGUAUUCACGCUUUAGAUUCCAUUAGCGGUGUAAAUAGAUGUUUUUCUCUUUAUUUUAGAAUUGACGUUAGGCGAAUGGGUUCAACUUUGGGAAUGCCUUUUUUUUUUUUUUUUUUUUGAAGGAAGGGCCCUGUUUCGUAGGGUACAUAAACCGUGAGCGUAAUUGUAUUUUUUGCAUAUUCCAGGUUUGCUUGUGAAGGUCAGAGUAGCCGGAUUUAAGUGAAGGAGUUCAGUAGACAUGCAGACAUGGUCACCUGGUUCAUUUUCUGAACCCUGGAUUGUGCCCUCGGUACUGCUAUAACCAGAAUUUGGUAGAAAAAGGAUUUACUUGUUGGGGCCCUCUUGAUAAAAAGAGAUGUGGGGGGAUUCUCGACCUGCUAACAGAACUGGACCUUUUCGGACUGGGUGAAAGCUUUUUCUGCAGCAGUCAUGUUGAAAACCUUGUGUUGACUUUCCUCGUGUUCUGAAAUGGGAGCAUAAAAGUUUACUCCGCCACUUCGUCUUAAAAUAGCAAAACUUUGCUGUUUUCUGCAGAUCUAGGACCUUGUUACAGAACUCUGCCAAAAA
rnacentral:lncRNA from 1 species